rnacentral:lncRNA from 1 species
UCAGUUGAGAAGGGUGGAAUCAAGGAGUGACAUACGGGAAGGUUGUUGUCAGCAAACUGAUGACUACAUACCAUAAUUAAGAAAUAAUGUAUUCUUGAUUUAAAAAGAACUUACCAUAAGAAGCAAAGCUGUUGACUGAUGGUCAGAGCACUGGUUUUGGGGCCAUACUGUUAAAUCCCCUUCCAUACUGUAUCAGCUCUUUCUGGAAUAAGAAGCUAUUUCAGGAGAUGUGA